AAAGAAAGAGGUGCCAAUUUCAUAUUUGUUGAUGAAACAUGGAUUUUCCAGAGAGGCAAGGCAUUAAUUUAUUUGAAAAUUUGUUCUGUGGUCCAAUACAAAGUAUUUCAUUUCCAUUUCAUAUAUUUUUCAGGAACUGUAUCAAAGUCAUGGCAGGACAAGAGUCUACAAUCUGCGAAGAGACGUACUGUUGGAGAUGGUAAAAGGUUUAUUGUUGUUAAUGCUGGAGGGCGCACUGGCUUUGUGCCAGGAGCAGGAUUACUUUUUGUUUCAGGUCAGAAGACUGCAGACUACCAUGGCGAGAUGAAUGGGGAAACUUUCUUGAUGUGGUUUGAAGACAUGUUGGUGCAUCUGGAGGAACCCAGUGUCAUUAUAAUGGACAAUGCUUCAUAUCACAGCACCCAGGUUGAGAAAACACCUACAACGAACUGGACCAAGGAUGCACUGAUCGCGUGGCUGGAGAAGAAUGAGAUAAAACAUGAAAAUAAUUUGUUGAAAGUGGAGCUGCUGAGAAUAGCUAAACAAAACAAGCCCCGAAUACGAUGGGCGAGGUGUGUGGAUCACGUGGAGAAGCUAAUUCAAGCAGACUGGGAGAGAGAAGUCCACAUAGACAGCGGCACCAUUCCUCCACUCAUCAUCCACCUCGGCGAGGAUAGUUCAAGUGAAGACAGUGACAGCGAAGAAUUUGAGGUUACGACACAGUUAGUAGAUGGAGACAGUGAAGUACUGGCAGUUCCUCUUGAUGAUUUACCCGGGUGUUCUUAUUGAGGUCUGUAUGUAAUAAACACCUGGGCAACUGUAAGUAUUGGGGUUUGAAACAUUUUUUUUUCUUUUAUGCAUUCCCAUUAAGUAUGUUGAUUACUGGAACUUUAUGUAUUAACUUUAUAUUACACAUAUUAUAAAAUUAAUAAUAAAUUUCAUUUCUGGAUUCGUAUAGGUGUAUGUGAAACAUUUUAUUUUGUUGUGUCUCUUCAUUUUUCAGUGAACUUACUUGGAAAACAAAAAGCCAGUCCCCAUCCAGGGCCACAAAUAAAUAAUGCAUAUAAGUGGUAUAGAAAUUACUGUCAAUUCUUUACCACAAUUUUACUGUUCAUAAAAUUAUGAUUUUGUCUAAUAAGUAUACUCAGGAAAAUGUAUAUAACCAUAUUUUUAUUUGUGGCCUUAACCGGCAAAAUGGUAGGGGUUUAUUAAAUAAAAGAAGAAAAUUCAUUUUUAAAUGUUUUCAUCUGAAUUUGUUAAUUUUAUUAAACCUUCAAUCCUUAGUCUUUUCCAGAUUGCUUAGAUGGACAGCCAUAUGUAUAAUUUACAAUACUUUUUUUUUCAGAUGCAGAAAACUGUGUUGAACUGUACUAAAGGAUGAUAUUUAUUGCUUACAUAAAUGUUGUAAAUUUAUAUGUUCUACUAAAAAUUUACUUUAAAUUAUAUGUUAUUUCUUUAGCUAACAAACUUAUUUUUUAAUAUUUUUACCAUUGGGUAUCAUAAAUGUUAUGCACAUAUACAUGUAUACUUAGAUCAUAUUCAAAUUACUUAUAUAUAUAUAUA